rnacentral:lncRNA from 1 species
UUUUUUUUUUUUUCUUUUUACCAACUCUGUCAAGGUAGAUGUUAAUUCUGUAGCAAUGCAAAUACAUUCUGUAGGCAGAGAUGCAGAUGGGGACAUUGAUCUGUCUCGUAUAAAAUGCAGCAAUCUUAUUCCACCUCUCUCUGGGAUUAGAAUGCUUCAGUGUUUCCUAUAGUCCUCGCACCAGCUUUACCAUUCUGUUAGCUCACUCAUCCAUGUGUUAAUCUUUGACAGGCGUUCCCUCUUUAAAGGAAAAAAAAAAAGAGAUGUAGCAAGUAACAUAGAACACAGAAAAUCUAAAAUAUACACCAAAAAAGAACGUGUUUCCCCCAAACCUUCUGUUGGUCUAAUGGAGGCACACGGAACAGCUACGAGACUCACAGGGUUUCAGUAUCUGACAGAGAAGGAGAGGGAGGGCAGCAGGGCUUCUCUGAUGGUCCCAAGAGUAGGGAACCCCUACCAUGGCACCCUAGUCUGAGAACAGCGCUCUAAACUGGGAAGGACUCCGAGGACCAAAGCCUUAGGCCAAGGGCAAGGACACUGCCAGGUAACAAGGUUUACUGGUGCUGCAACAGUCGCCCUUGGCCAUAGAAACUCUUGAAAAGAACACUGCACUGAGAAAAACUGCUAGGAGUAGGGUCCAAAUUGAGCAGAAAAGGGCAACAGAAGCAAAGACAAGAAGUCCAGAUAAAAGAGACGGGGAGCAGAAAGAAAGACCUCAGAAAACAAGGAGAAGAGAGGAAGGAGAAGAGGUGCUGGUUGAUUAAAAUAACGCUCACGGGAAUGAACAAAUUUACCGCAGCCAAAGAGAGGGGACUGAAGGCAUCCCAUAAAGACAACCGACAGAACAAAACCAUGAAUCUUCCAAAUACUGAAAGAUAUAGCAAAACAUACAAGCAAAACCAAAAAGAGUGUAAAAAUAGAACAUGUAAUGAAAGACAGUAUGCUACUGUUUAUCAAAAAAGUGGGAUACAUAAACAUACAUGCAACUGCUUAUGACUUUAAAAAGUGGAAGAAUAAACCAUAAAAUUGGUGAAAGAAACCAAAAACAUUUUGUACAGAAGAAAGAAGUAGAGGAGAGGAGCCAGGGAUAGAAACAAGAAUCUUGUAGAGCUGACUUUAAAACUGUAUACAAUUUUGUUACACAAUUCUAAGAAAAAUUUAAAAAGGAGUAAUUCUUAAAUCUUGCAAAUAAAAAAGUGCAUUGGCAUAAUUACACAUAGCAAAGAACUAACUCAUGAGUAAAUCGAGAGUAAUUUUGUCUCAUAGAACCCAGAUUGUUGGUAUAGUUGAAAAAGAUCUAGAUUGUUAAGAUUAAGGAGAUUAAGAAAAAGACCCUUUAGCACUGACUUUAAAAAUCGCAAUAUAAACUCAUGAGUUAGUUUAUCUCAAAAGUAUAUAUGUUUUCUAGCUCUGCCCAUUAAAAGGCCUAGAAACAAUGAUCGAUUAGUAGCAACAAGUGCUCCUCGUGCCCCGAUUUUAGCCUCUAAAACUAGGGCUUUUGGAAAUGACUGAUUCCAGGUGUGGAAAAAAAAAAGAGAAAAAAAAAAGUAGGUAGGCCUGGAAUAACUUGUCAUCCAGGAAGAAAAGGAGGCUAUUUAUUCAGCUUCUAGAUCUGAGGCAAGAGCCGUGACAAAAGGACACAGGAAAUCAACACGCUGCACACUUAAAUUUACACGAUGUCCUAUGUCAGCUACAUCUUAAAGCUUGGGGAGCAAAGGACAAAGGUGCCACCUUGAGGCAGCAACCAUGGUCAAAGACGGGAUAAUGCGAGCACAGUAAAACUAAUAAUUAAAGUGGAUCGAGGCAUAACAUAUCAAAUGUGUCCACAUCCAUGAGUUCGUAACAUAUCAAAAGAGAAAAAAAUCAUUACUUACUUUUAGAGAAUUCAAAUGAAGAAAAUCCAUAAUUUUUGAAAACUAGUAAAAGGAAGGAAUCAAGUACCUGGCCUGCCUUUAUUAUAAAUCAGUACCUUGGCGUAACCAGAUGGUUGACGAAGGGAAGUUUCUCUUUACAGAAGUAGUCCAGUUAAUAAAGAGGAACGAUAGAGGCUCAAUUUAACUACAACACCUUUUUCUUUCUUUGAAAACAAGAUUUAAGAAAAUGCAACUAAAGUUGUUUUGCAAAAAGCCUAAAUUCUUCUAUAAAGACAUUAUGUACACACCCUCCAAAAAAUCUGGCUUGCCAGAUUUGCUCAACUUUUGAUGAGCAGACCUAUAAAAAUUUAAUUUUUAGAAGAUAGCUUAUUGUUAAAAAUAAGCAGAGGCUGUCAUCAUUAAAUGUGAUGUCAAACUUUUUUAAAAAAUCUCACUUAAAAUGUAUAACUUUUCGUAACAAUCUUUUUAAAAAGAUUUCUUAAAACUAACAUGGUUCUGUAAAACUUGCCAACUGACAAAAAAUGAAAUAAUUCCAAAGAUACCAGAUUUUUGGACUUAACUACAACUUUACAGAAGAAUAUACAUAAUUGUUUUGACGUGUGCAUUGAGCUUUAGUUUAUCAUGUGUCACACUCCAGAAACCCCUGGGCCACAUCUGGCCUCUAGACAAGUUGUUUGGUCUUCAUGAUUUUUUAGAAAAAAAAUCCCACAUUUAAAAUUUAGGAGACUUCCCACGGAGCCCAGAUGUGGACAAUCCCGCCUCCAGCAGUGGGCUGGAGCACAGCAGCAGCGGUGCGGUGCCCUCCGUCCCUGUCCCUUCUGUGCACAAACCACAGGCCUGGUCUCUGCAGGCAGGGGAGUCUGAGACACCACUAUCGGCCAACAUUGUUUUGCGGGAGAUUUUCUGCUCAUUCUUAACAAAGAAGGCGAACUAUCUGCAAGAGCCAAUAUUAUUCAGUUUUACAUUUAAAAAAUGCAAAGUGCAAAGAAACCCCAAACAAAACCCCCAGCACUCGCCCUCCUUAUAGUGCAGAAAUAAAACGGUAUCUGCGUGUUCCUAAGUGCCUUCUCCUUCGCCAGAGUAGUAAGGCUUACCUUCAGAUCAAGGCUGCUAAGGCUUACGACAUCAUCAUCUUUUGCUCUUCUUUUCCUUUUCUGUGAAAAAGAAAAGAUUUCAUUCUUACAUGGAAGGAAUGGGUGGUACUCCAUAAACCAAGACCACAUACAACUAGAAAAGUCCCCUUUAAAAUUAGGCUGUUUAGGAGGGAUGGUCACAAAUUAUCUCUGGCACCUAUGAUGUCAUACUUUCUAAAAGCCCCCUCUGACGAAAUGAUCUCUUGUGAAGUGAUUUUGCCCCAUUAAAAAAAAACUUAUCUCAAGUUUUCCAUAACAGAACUCUUAUGUAAGUUAAUUCUACAUUUACUUUUGUUAGAGAAAAAGUAAAUAUGUUUUAUAUAUAAAGGCAAUAUGUUUUUUUAAAAACGGAACACAUUUUAUUUAUCCUGUUGGGGGGUUCAGUAGGAAAAAACUAUCCUUUACUCAUGGCCCCAGUAAUUAAGAUUUAUUGCCUGGAGAUUUACCAGCUGGAAGAUGAAUAUGCCCACACCUGGAGUACCAUCCAGUAAGCAUCCACCACCUUCAUUCAGCACCACUGGUGCCAAUAGUGACAAAAACUGAAGGUACAGCUUUCAUUUCUGGUCCUUAAUAUUUAAGAAUACUUAAACAAUGUUUCUUCUCUUCUAUCUCAAGAAAACUUUUCAGAUUACUUGUGAUACAGCCUAGCUCUUGUGAACUGUCAAACCUGACCAGCAGGGACUCCCCUUCAAGAACCCCCCCCCCCCCCACCCCCAUGCCCCCAGAGAACCUGGUGGGAGGCGAGUCAGCACGGAGCAGGAAGCGGACAACAGAGAAGAGGAAAGAAGAGUCCAGAAGGGGGGGGAUACACGGAGCCUGGACGUCUAUCUCAGAAGCAAGCUGUCAUGAAGACAACAGCAGAGGGAACUUCAUGAAGUGAGAAAGGCCACCUGAAUCAAGCCUCUUUGUGAAAGACCAGGAAAACUAAUUCACAUUAAAGUGAACAGAGGAGUUCCGUCGUGGCUCAGUGGUUAACGAAUCUGACUAGGAACCAUGAGGUUGCAGAUUCAAUCCCUGGCCUCACUCAGUGGGUUAAGGAUCCGGUGUUGCCGUGAGCUGUGGUGUAGGUCGCAGAUGCAGCUCUGAUCUGGCGUUGCUGUGGCUCUGGUGUAGGCCGGUGGCUACAGCUCUGAUUAGACCCCUAGCCUGGGAACCUCCAUAUGCUGAGGGUGCACCCUAGCAAAGACAAUAAAAAAUAAUAAUAAUAAAAAAUGAACAGAAAAAUCCUCCAAGUCAAAUCCUACACAAAGCAACUCUGAGAGAAAGAGAGUGAGGGGAAGAAUAAUAGCCCUACAAGGAAUGAAGUCACCUCAAAAGGAAAUGCUCAAAGAGGCAGAGCAAACCUAUAAAGUACUAUUUCAAUUUUAGCUAAAAGACAUUAAGAAAAUGAUACAAGACAUGAACAAACAUAUAAAUCAGAGGUGACAGAACUGAAGAAACCUUUACUGAUCCUAAGGUUAUAUCCAGAAGAUGCAGGAAAGUCUCAUUAACAUGACCCUAAUUUGGAGACGGGAUUAAGAUGGCGGAACAGAAGGACUGGAGCUCAACUAUUCUCCUAAAAACAACAAAAUUCACAACAAAAGACUGAGCAUUCUUCACCAAAUGGACCAGAAACCUUAAAAAAGAUAGCCUACUCCAGAAGAAAAAGAGGAGGACACAUCAAGAGGUAGGAGGGGUGAUUUCACGAUAUAAACAACCCCAUACCUCCUGGGUGGGAAGCUCCACAGACUGGAAACUAACUGGUUCACAGAGACUCACCUACAGGCGUGAGAGUUCUGAGUCCCACAUCAAACCCUCACAUGCGGGGACCUGGCCCUGGGAGAAAGAGCCCCUGGAGCAUCUGGCAUUGAAGGCCAGUGGGGCUUGUGCGCAGGAGCUCCACAGGACUGGGGGAAACGGAGACCCCAUUCUUAAAAGGCGCACACAGACUUUCACGUGUGCUGGGUCCCAGGGCAAAGCAAAGUCUCCAUAGAACUGGGUCAAACCUGACUGCAGUUCUUGGAGGACAACCUGGGAAAACAGGGGUGAACGUGGCUUGUUCUGAGGGAAGGACAUUGAAAGCAAAGCUCUUGGGAAUAUUCAACAGCCUGCCUUUCUCUGGAGGGGGUCCUUUUGGGAAAAUCUGGCCCCACCCGUCAGCCAGUGCUGAGAAGCCCCAGGGCAAACAACAACCCAGGUGGGCUCACAGCCCCGCCCCUCAGGAAACAGGCUCCCUAAAGACCCCUCAGGCACACAGCUGCCUCUAAUCCCAUCCAGAGACUAAGCCCCACCCACCAGAGGGAUUAGAAUCGGCUCCACCUACCAGGGGGCAGGCAUCAGCCCCUCCCAUCAGGAAACCUACAACAAGCCCCCCAUACUCACUUCAGCCACAAGGGGAGGAGACACCAGAAAUAAGAGAGGCUACAACUCUAUUAUCUAUAAAAAGGUCACCACACCAAAAAUUUAUAAAAAUGAAAAGACAGAGAACUAUAACUCAGAUGAGGGAGAAAGGAAAAACCCCCAGAAAAUCAGCUAAGCCAUGAGGAGAUUCUCAGCCUCCAGGAAAAAGACUUUAGACUGUCGAUGCUGAAGAUGAUGCAAGACAUUGGAAAUAAACUGGAGGCAAAGAUGGAUAACUUACAGGAAACACCGAGCAAAGGGAUACAAGAUAUAAAACUUCAACAAGAAGAGAUGCAAAAUACAAUAACUGAAAUAAAAAAUUCACCAGAAGCAGCUAACAGCAGAAUACAGCAGGCAGAAGAACGAAUAAGCGAGGUGGAGGACAGAUUAGUGGAAAUUAUGGAUGCAGAACAGAAAAGAGAAAAAAGAUUGAAAACAAAUGAAGAGAGUCUCAGGGAACUCUGGGACAACGUUAAACGCACCAACAUCCGUAUUAUAGGGGUGCCAGAAGGAGAAGAGAGAGAGAAGGGGAC